rnacentral:lncRNA from 1 species
GUCGAUCGUGGUGUGCAGCUCUCCAUCGAAGUUUGUGGAGUGGCAUCCUCGUUCUAAAAUAGUCUAGAAAAUAUUUCCCCACAUAGAGAACAGAAAACUGAAGAGAGCGGUGAGCGUUUUCCAGGAAACACCCUUUUGUGGGCUGCACAAUUUGGCUGGAAAAUGGGACGGAAUCACUACCGUAAGCACAGAUUUCUUUGACCAUGAGCUUUUCUGCAAGGAUCCCCACCCUGUGAUGCGCUUUAGAGGGUAGUGAGUGUCCUUGUGGUAAUCAACGACUUUUAGGGCAAUUCGAGCUGGUGCUGGAGUGGAAGCAUGUGACGUUGAUGAGCUGGGCAUGGCGGUUCUGGUCGUGUUGCUGCUGGGAUUGCCAGCCUGCGACUGACGGACCACGACCCGUCGUCCUUGCUUUUGUUUGUUUGUUUGUUUGUUUGUUUGUUUGUUACACGGGGUGUCGUAGCUAUUGAAUUGCGUGUGCCUUACUUCUAAUUUAUCGUCCUUGCUCGUCGUCGUUGUUGUCGUCGUCUCCCUUGAUUUGUAUCGCGUGUAGCGUGCAGUUUGGAGUUGCCUUGCGCUCUCUUCAGGCUCAGUAGAUUUUGUUUUAAACAUUUAAAAAAGGGCUGGCUGUUCGUGAAUGGUGUACUCUCAGGUGUUCUGAAACCACCUGCCGCUGAGAACUGAUGAGAAGUGUAUUCUUUGCGUACUUUGACACAAACUUAGCUGAGCUUGAGAACGCUUUUUGAGGACCUUGGUCCGCCAUCCGCUGGGACCCUUAGAAGAAGAUCUGGGUGAUUUAGGGUUAUUACCGCUGUGGCUAGUAUUCAAGUAGCUGAUGCUGGCCUUUUGAAAACACAGUGACAGAUUGAAGGGAACUAUGAGAUCGGCAUCGUUUAUUUUAUUUUAUUUCAUUUUACUUUAUUUCAAUAAAGCUCAAGAGCAUCAUCCGCUUCACACAUCAUUCAUCUCUCACGAUUCAGUCUUUUGUUUAUCUAUAUAUUCCCACCAUAAGGCAAGAGUCAUAUUAUAACGUCUAACUUUAGGUGACCUGUUUGUCAUUUGGCUUGAAAAUUGUUUACGAAUGUACUUGUUCUGUCUUGUUUUUUCAAGUGUUUUGAUUUUGACGAUUCUGUUCAUGCCACUCUCCACGUUUGGCUGCCCCUCUUCAUCUCUACGUCGCUGCCCCUAG